rnacentral:rRNA from 1 species
UACGUAGGGGUGCGAGCGUUGAAUCGAAUUACUGGGCGUAAAGCGUGCGUAGGCGGUCCCGCAAGUCCGCUGUGAAAGCCCCGAGCUUAACUUGGGAACUGCAGUGGAAACUAUGGGACUUGAAUCCGGCAGAGGGGGGUGGAAUGCCACGUGUAGCAGUGAAAUGCGUAGAGAUGUGGCGGAACACCGAUGGCGAAGGCAGCCCCCUGGGCUGAGAUUGACGCUCAGGCACGAAAGCGUGGGGAGCAAACAGG